GAUGAACGCUGGCGGCGUGCCUAACACAUGCAAGUCGAACGAGGCCCUUUGUAUUCGUACGGAGGUGUCCUAGUGGCGAACGGGUGAGUAACACGUUGGUGACCUGCCCCAAAGUGGGGGACAACUCCGGGAAACUGGAGCUAAUACCCCAUGUGUUCCAAGGAGUUAGAGGUCCUUGGAGAAAAGGAGCAAUCCGCUUUGGGAGGGGCCUGCGGCCCAUCANCUAGUUGGUAGGGUAAUGGCCUACCAAGGCGACGACGGGUAGGGGACCUGAGAGGGUGGCCCCCCACACUGGCACUGAAACACGGGCCAGACACCUACGGGUGGCAGCAGUGGGGAAUAUUGCCCAAUGGACGAAAGUCUGAG
rnacentral:rRNA from 1 species